GCCGGCAACCAUAUCACCCUGCAGCCCAAGACUGGUUACCCACGGAAGCUAAGGCCUGGAUGGGAGACCUCCUGGGAAAACUAGGUUGCUGCUGGAA
rnacentral:rRNA from 1 species